rnacentral:rRNA from 1 species
AAUCUUGCGCAAUGGGCGAAAGCCUGACGCAGCCAUGCCGCGUGUAUGAUGAAGGUCUUAGGAUUGUAAAAUACUUUCACCGGGGAAGAUAAUGACGGUACCCGGAGAAGAAGCCCCGGCUAACUUCGUGCCAGCAGCCGCGGUAAUACGAAGGGGGCUAGCGUUGUUCGGAAUUACUGGGCGUAAAGCGCGCGCAGGCGGUUCUUCAAGUCAGAGGUGAAAGCCCAGGGCUCAACCCUGGAAUGGCCUUUGAGACUAGAGAACUAGGGUACGGGAGAGGUGAGUGGAAUUCCGAGUGUAGAGGUGAAAUUCGUAGAUAUUCGGAAGAACACCAGUGGCGAAGGCGGCUCACUGGCCCGUUACCGACGCUCAGGCGCGACAGCGUGGGGAGCAAAC